GUCACUGUGACCGAGUGGUUAAGGUGCUAGAUUAGAAAUCUGGUGUGUUUACACGCGCAGGUUCAAAUCCUGUCGGUGACG
rfam:Anncaliia algerae PRA109 cont4.4195, whole genome shotgun sequence.